rnacentral:rRNA from 1 species
AGUGAACGCUGGCGGUAGGCUUAACACAUGCAAGUCGAACGGCAGCACAGUAAGAGCUUUCUCUUACUGGUGGCGAGUGGCGGACGGGUGAGGUAAACAGCGGAAUCUACUUUUUCGUGGGGGGUAACGUAGGGAAACUUACGCUAAUACCGCAUACGACCUACGGGGGAAAGCAGGGGAUCUUCGGACCUGGCGCGAGUGAAUGAACCGAUGUCUGAUUAGCUUGUUGGCGGGGUACAGGCCCACCAAGGCGACGAUGCGUAGCUGGCCUGAGAGGGUGACCGGCCACAUUGGGACUGAGAUACGGCCCAGACUCCGACGGGAGGCAGCAGGGGGGAAUAUUGCACAAUGGGCGCAAGCCUGAUGCAGCAACGCCGCGGGCGGGAGGACGGCCUGCGGGUUGGAAACCGCUUUCAGCAGGGACGAAGCUUUUUGUGACGGUACCUGCAGAAGAAGCACCGGCUAACUACGUG